AUCCAACCUGGUCUUGAACACUUCCAGGGAUGGGGCAGCCACAGCUUCCCCAGGCAACCCGUGUCAGGGCACUCACCACCCUCCCAGG